CAGUUCAACCAGUCGGUGUAUAGAGUUGUUGUGCCUGAAGACAGUGUAGAAGGAACACUUGUGGCCCGCGUGAACGCAAUGGAUCCGGACUUAGGAAUAUAUGGAGAAGUUCUUUACGAAAUUGAUAGUUACAUUCCUGUCACAGCCACCGAUGUAUUCCACAUCGAUGCGAACAGCGGGGAGAUCAGACUGACGGGCGCCCUGGAUUAUGAGACAAUUAAUUUCUACGAUAUACAAAUAAAGGCAAAAGAUAAGGGGAUGCCUCCAUUAUCAGGUCACUGCAAGGUGGUGUUGGAAGUGCUGGACGUGAACGACAACGCGCCGGAGGUGUGGGUGACGUCGCUGUCGGUGCCGGUGCCGGAGGACGCGUCGUUGGGGACGGUGGUGGCGCUGCUGAGCGUGUCGGACGGCGACUCGGGGGCGAACGGUCGGGUGCGGUGCGCGGUGUGGCCGGCGUCGCCGUUCGGUCUGGUGUCGAGGUUCGCGGGGUCGUACUCGCUGGUGCUGCGGGAGGCGCUGGACCGGGAGCGGGUGUCGGAGUACGAGGUGGAGGUGCGCGCGGAGGACGGCGGGUCGCCGCCGCUGCGCGCCAGGCGCGGGGUGCGCGUGCCGGUGUCGGACGUGAACGACAACGCGCCGUCGUUCCUGCAGGCCGUGUACACGGUGCUGGCGCGGGAGAACAACGCGGCGGGCGCGGAGCUGGGGCGCGUGUGGGCGCGGGACCCGGACGAGGCGGGCAACGGUCGCGUGAGCUACUCGCUGUGGGAGGGCGGCGUCGGGGGCGCGUCGGCGUCGUCGGGGUGGCGCGCGGCGUCGAGCUACGUGUCGGUGGAGGCGGAGAGCGGUCGGGUGUGGGCGCUGCAGCCGCUGGACUACGAGGAGGUGCAGGUGCUGCAGUUCGAGGUGCGUGCGGUGGACGCGGGGGAUCCGCCGCUGAGCGGCAACGCCACGGUGCAGGUGUUCGUGGUGGACGAGAACGACAACGCGCCGGCGCUGCUGCCGUCGUCGGUGGGCGGUGGCUGGGGCGGCUCGUCGUCGGUGGAGGCGGAGGCGGUGGAGGCGGGGUCGCUGUGGGCGUGGGCGUCGUGGGGCGCGCCGGCGGGUCAGGUGGUGGCGAAGAUCCGUGCGGUGGACGCGGACUCGGGCUACAACGCGUGGCUGCGGUACGAGUUGUGGGAGCCGCGUGGGAAGGGCCCGUUCCGCGUGGGUCUGUACAGCGGCGAGGUGACGACGUCGCGGGCGCUGGAGGAGGCGGACGGUCCGCGUCAGAGGCUGGUGAUCGUGGUGCGGGACCACGGGGAGCCGUCGCGCUCGGCCACGGCCACGCUGAGCGUGUCGCUGGUGGAGGGCGGCGAGGCGGCGGCGGCGGCGUCGGGGGGCUCUUCGUCGUCGUCGUCGUCGUCGUCGGGUCUGCGUCCGUGGUCGGGGUCGGAGGGCGUUGGGUCGUCGUCGGGAGCGUCGUCGACGAACGUGUGGCUGGUGGUGGCGAUCUGCGCGGUGUCGAGCGUGUUCCUGCUGGCGGUGGUGCUGUACGGGGCGUCGCGGUGGGCGCCGCGGGCGGCCGUGCUGUCGGGGGCCGGUCCGGCGACGCUGGUGUGCGCCAGCGAAGUGGGGAGCUGGUCGUACUCGCAGCGCCAGAGCCGGAGCCUGUGCGUGGCGGAGGGCGCGGGCAAGAGCGACCUGAUGGUUUUCAGCCCCAACUUCCCGCCGCCGCCCGGCCCCGCGGCGAAGGAGACGCAGCCGGAGCCGCCCGCUCUGCUGGACACGGUCAGUGCCCGCCCGUUAUCGCCUCUCGCCCCUUCCCCCGACCCCUCCUCCCUCCUCCUCGCCCUCGUGUGCCUUGUGUCCCCGGGCAGUCGCUGUUGGGAGUCGGGCUGCGUGGGCGGGUCGGGCGGUGGGUGGGUGGGUGUUUGUCGGGUGCUUAAGGAUGUGAAUGGCACCUUUGCAUCUGCCUUUGUGUCCUUGCCGAAGUCCCCCGCCUCCUGCUUAGCGGGAUAA